rnacentral:rRNA from 1 species
CCCCUAGAUGUUCUGGGCCGCACGCGCGCUACACUGAACAGUUCAACAAGUCUUAACCUUGGCCGAUAGGUCUGGGUAAUCUUUGAACAUCGAUCGUGAUCGGGAUAGAUUCUUGUAAUUUUUGAUCUUAAACGAGGAAUUCCUAGUAAACGCAAGUCAUCAGCUUGCAUUGAUUACGUCCCUGCCCUUUGUACACACCGCCCGUCGCACCUACCGAUUGAAUGGUCCGGUGAAAUCUCCGGACUGGCGUGAGUCGGAGCAAUCUGACAAACACCGGAAAGUUGAUUAAACCUUACCAUUUAGAGGAAGGUGAAGUCGUANCA